CACCGAACCGAUGGAGAAAAAAAUCCAGAAAAAACAGCGCACAUGCCCUGCUCCCUCAAUCCCUAGCUAGCCGUCGCUCCUCUCCUCUUCUCCACCCGCCGCCGCCACCGCACCUCAAUCCCGAGCCAUUUCCUUCUCUCCCUCUGUACCUCCUGCACUACCGCCGCUCCUACCCGGACCAUCCACGUCCUUCUGACCCACGCACGCCGCCUGCACUCCACGCCUCCACACGACGCCACCACACCAAGGGGCGCUGAUGGCCGCCACCGGUGUGGGUCGUGGACUUGCGGGCCACCUCAUGCCGACGCGGUGCCUCCCGGCGACGACCACCACCACCUCCUCCUCCUCCUCAAGCCGUCACUGUCGCCUCCCCUCCACCAUGGCUUGCCUGCGUGAGCCCGACGCGGGAGGACGACGUCGACCAUGCAGCGGAGCCUAGCGGGCGUGGACCGACGCAGUGGUCGUCGCCAAGGAUCGAUGGCCGACGCUGAAGAGGAGGGGGCCCUCUUCCUGCAGCUAUCUUUCCCAUCCCCUACGGGCUGGAUCUAGAGAACAGAUAUACAAGUUGUUGCCGACGACUCCGGCCGGGCGGGUGAUGUUAUGCUUGACCACUUCCUACAUGAGAUUGUUCACUUGGUGUCUUCUGUCUCAAAUGUCGCUCAGGUUCUUUCUCCGUGUGACAAUCCAGCUCGGCUUGACUGUCAUAGCAAAAAGGGACAAGGACGACGACUUCAACAGUGAUAGGACGGAAGCCAGUAUGCCUGGACCAACAAGCCAGUGUUCUUUCUUCCCUUCUUUCAUUACGUCGGGAGUGGAUAAUCAACUUUCAUUUUUCUUUUCUGUACCUUCUUAUUUAUGCAUCUUAGUUAGGAAUCUAACUACGUUUCUUUGCAUCAUGGAAUAUUUUUUACAGGAUUUGCAGACAUUUGCUAAGCUUAAAUACGUGAAUAUGGACAUGUGGUAUUAUUCAUUAGAGUGGACAGGUGAAUGUAGACAAUUUCGGUGGUUUAUAAUUUUUAUCAGAGGCUACAAGGAACUAAGGAGCGGCAGUUGGAGAAGAAGGGUGCCAAAAUCCAAAAAGGAAUUGGGCAUGCAGCCACUCCACUGACACAACAUUCUCGUUACGUGACGCCGCGUAGAUGCCCAUUGCGGCGGUGGCCACUGACACCGAUGACAAUGUGGCAUUGCAGCAAGCGACCCCGAAGUUGGCGAGGCCCGCAGCAGACCUCUGUUGUGCACGCCCAUCCGACCCUAUCCGACGGUGUUCCCUGAGCGAUGGUGAGAUGUGGAGUAAGAGGAGACACCAGACCAGCUCGCAAUGCAGUUGGCAUGGUUAACAUUACAAUCUUGGAAACUGAUCACCUCUAUAGACGAAGGAUUUAUGGACGUACGAAGGAAUGUGGCAUAGAUUAUCCAGAAAAUGGACUGCUUCCUCCUGAUGCCCAAUCAUGGUGUCAGGCUUCAUUUGAUCCUAAACAACUGCUUUGGUCAGUAAUUUAUCUACUCUUCAUCACUGCCUGCAAUUUUGAUCAUUGACUAUAGUUUGUAAAUCAACUUGAAUUUAACUUGGUAAGUUUUAACUGUCUAUUUUUUUCGCUUAUCGGCUAUGUAUGGAGGUUGUCACAUGUUUGAUUGGACUUCAAUUUGGACAUGUAGUCCUACAUUUCGAGGUAUAAGAUUGUUGUUUGUUUCUAUAUUUGAACAUUUCUUCUUAUGGCGUAGAAACUAUAUUCUAUUUCCCCCUUUUUGGGCUAACUUGCUUGUAGAAGCUCAAAGGAAGAAUUAUCGAUUGGCUAAUCUCUUCUUUCAACCUGUUAGAACUUACAUUUUUCCUGCUUAAAGUAUUACAAGAAUAUACACUAGAUAAUCACUGGAGCCUGCAGAGUUGACGCAGUAUAACAGAUUAGCCUGAUGCUAAAAGAUGUAGUCAUGCAGACCUCGCCAAUGAGUGAAUGUUGGAUUAGGUCCUGAUCAUCUGGAUGUUGCAGCAACUCUUAUAAAUGUGGCAAUGAUGUACCAGGAUGCGAGCAAUACGAGUACUGCUCUUAGGUAUCUUCAGGAAGCACUUAAGAAGAAUGAGUGCCUUUUAGGCCCAGGUCAUAUUCAAACAACAGUUCGCUAUCAUGCUCUCGCCAUUGCAUUCAGUUGUAUGGGUGCAUACAAGCUUUCAGUUUAGGUUAGUUCUGACGAAAAAAUGGCAGAAUAACAUUGUGACACAUUUUACUGACUUCAUUAUUUUGGUGGCAGCAUGAAACCAAGGCGCAUGAUAUACUGGUAAAACAGUUAGGGAGUGAUGAUUCACAAACAAAAUAUUCAGAAAAUUAGUUGAAUACAUUUAAGGGGCGAGAACAACAAGUAUGUGCGGAAAAAUUAUUUCACAUGGUUGCUUCACUCUUGGUUCAGGGAGGCAGACCAAACAAGCAUGACAUUGGACAUCUCCAAAUCGAACACUGGGGACGCCGCAAGCAAGCAAGAUAGCGCCUUCAAGAAGGAGAACGACGUCGCAAAGCCGCCACCAUCUGAUCUGGAGAACCGGACCUAGGGUUUCCCACAAUGGUCGAACAGAUGUUUAUUUGAUCUCAAGUUUAUUCAUAGUGGGCCACGAGAACUUUAUGAAUCUACUUGGCUAUUGGUGAAGAACAAAAUCCUUUCAUCAGAGGUACGAUGUUUGAAUAAGGUCAAAAUGGGGCUCUCUUCGAGCAUCUCCAUGGUAAGUGUGUACUGAUUCUGUUAAUUUUCUUACUGUCAACAGAAUGGUUCCUAUAACGUGCAGCCAGUUCAACAAUUUUAGCAUGUGUUGGUAGCCAACAAUUACUAAUAAUCAGUAUUUGAUAAUGCUUUGGAUUAUUCUGCAGUUCUUUUUUUACCGCAGUUAUGUUGCAGUCAAAGAUGCUGAGAACAUGGACUGGAUGACCCAACUUCAAAUGGCGAUGGGGAUAGCUUACUGUCAAGAGCACAUGCUUAAGUUGAAUCUACCUGCUAGGCUAAGGAACCUCAUCUCAACAGUUAUGUUGCAACGGUGUCAGAUCUUGAUGUCUGGAAUGGCACCAAGGGAUCUGAUUCUGUCACUGAUGAUUGCAUCAUGCUAUAUUUCAUUGUGCAUCAGUAUGGCAUCAUGCUUAAGCUGAAUCUACAUACUAUAGCUUACUGACGAAGAUAAUGGCUGCAUCUUUUUUUAGCUGGUCUUGUCGCAUCUAAUAGAAAACAUACAACUUGAUACAUUCUGUCGGAUGCAUAUCUUUUUUUCCUGGAAGUCGAAUACUUAGAGCAACGAUGGUAAACCAGGGGGCAUUUAUUCUUUUAGUUACAGAUUUGCUCAGCAGUGUUGGUGACGUAUGAUAUUUCCUUGGGGGGCAAAUUCAGAUAUUUUGCCUCUUUUUCAGAUAGCUAAAGAUAGUUUUGCUGGCCCCUUGUUUCUUGGAGAUAAUCUCUUUUGCGCUGUGGAAUAUUUGGAAACAGAUGAAUGCUUGGAAUUUUUAAGGGAAGCAAGCAUCUUUGUCCGGUUGACUCUGGUCACAUAGAGUUAAAACCAAAGUCCACUCUGAGUGCUUGGAUCUCCUCUAUGUCUUGAGCUUUUGAUCCUUAGACUUUAAUUUUAAAUUUUCUUUUAGGGGUAUCCUCUACCCCUAUGUAAUCAUGUAACUUUGUACAUUACUCCCCUUUUUCCUCGUUCUAUUAAUGAAAAUUACACGGUAGGGGGUUCCCCUACUGUUUGCCCAUAAUUUUUUUUGAAGAAACAUUGCUGAAAAGUCUUAUUUUUUAUUUCAUUUAAUUUCCUUAGUCAUGUGUUGAAAUGUUGGGAGAUUAAAGUUUAUGCUCUAUUCACACAUCGUGGAGGCAACCAUGGCAGAGUCAUAGAGGGGGCAUCCAGAUAAAGAUGGUUAUGAGUUGAGAAUGAAAAAUUAUUAUACUUGUAUACAAGUACCAUGUGAGUGAAGCGAAAGACAAUAUUCCUGACGUUUUAUAGGAAUUUCUCAAGCACAUCAAGGAGAUCUUAGUUUAUAAUAGAUACUCCCUCUGUAAAGAAAUAUAAGAGUGUGUAGAUCACUAGACGCUCUUAUAUUUCUUUACGAAGGGAGUAAUUAUUAGUGCUCUCUUUGUAUACAUUGUCGAAUUACAUUGUAAGUGGAGUGGAUUUUAUUUUUUCUAUAGAUGUGAAAUUUGAGUAGCGAGUUAUAUAUUUAUUAUUCAGACA